GGAUUGCAGCGAGAUUAGAUUGGCUCUCUCCGAUGAAAAUAUCUCCCCCCUCUCUCCCUGGUCCACUUCUCCGUGCUGCUGCCGCCGACGCCUCCGCUUCCCCCGUUCCUCGCGGCCGCCUCGUCCCCUCCGCCUUCAGCAGCUCCUCCUCCCCCAUCCUCUCCGCCUCCAGCACCUCCUCCUCCCCUUCCUCUCCUCCUCCCCUGCCCCCGAAGCUAGACCACGUGACGUGGAUAAGGAGAGGCAGGCGGUUCUCCUUCCAUGGCGGCACCCCGACCUUCCGGAUCUUUCUCUUCGUCAGUCCGGCGGAGAGGAGUGGUAGAUUCGUCUCCUCUUGGGCAUCAUCGGCCAGAGAAGUUAUUUUUUUCAUCUAGGCCGACGGAUGGGGUAGGCGAAGAGGAGUGGCGGAUCCGCCUCGAUUGCGCUCUCCUUCGUUAUGCCCGCGUUGCUUCCAUUCUUGCGCUAGUGCUGCUGCUAUGGAGGGCUUGGUUUAAGGCAGAACUGAAAUCUCCCACGCGGUGGCAGCCAUGAGUAACGGCACGAUCUGGAGGGGAGUAGCAAUGGCGGCCUCUUCUUCUUCGCGCUUGGUGGCCUUGCGCAGCUCCGCCUCUUUUCCCGCCUCCAUCCCACGCGUGCAGCAUCCACACGCGUGCAGCAUCCACAUGAAGGCAAGCGAGCACACAUGAAAUAGACAUAUCAAGUGGAUUUUCUCUCACCUCAACGCUUACUGAAUUCAGUACCCGAAGAAGCCUAUUAUGCCACUCAUUUUGUACCACCAGUGUAAACAUUGAGAACUAUAUGAAUUGAUGCACCUUGUGGUCGGAAAAGAGGCUCUUGAUUGUGUGGAUAUUUUGCAGCUUUAGAAUUAUUUUAUUCUCGCCUUAUGGCAUCAAGGAGCACAACAUGGAUUGGAAAUAAAUGCCUUUUCCACAAGCCAACUGACUACAUAAAUUCUGGUGGUACCUGCCCGCCAACUCCAAAGCCUGUUCAAUUAAAAGUGGCUGCUCAACUUGGCCUCCUGUAGCACCUCAACCCUCACUUGCUACCUUCGCCCUGUCCACAUGCUUAAUUUAAACUAUCUUUCGUCUUAUGGUGCCCAUUGGAAAUCAUUUGUUGUAGUAUUAUUAUUCGCAGAUUCUUCACAUUAUCUACUUGACUUUGUGUGCAUGCUUAAUUCAAAUAUCUUUCAUGUUAUUGUCAAUUGUUUUCUAGCUAUAUAAUUAUCGGUCUUUUUAGUUUAAGUAGACCAUUACAUGUACAUAUGCAGUUCAGAGUUAUGACCUUAUAUGAAAAAUGUUGUUGCAUAGUGGACUCUAUUGGACCCACCUGUUGCAUGGUUUAUAUAAAUUAGAUACACUAAUUGCUGCUGUGCCAAAAUUACAGACGCCAUUUUGCCUUGCUGCAAGGACCACUUUAUAAAAAUCAAGGAUUGUUUGCAUGUAUGAUUCUUCAGGUCUGAUGUAAUGUGCACAACUCAUGCUGGCAGAGAAUAAAGGAGGGUUGUGGUUUCUGGAUGUUGAGACCUCCAGUUUUGGGGAAUGGUAAACUUUAAUUUGGAGAUGGUGUUCUCUAAUGUAUUUGUACAGUUAGAUAUCAUAUUAGAUUUUUUUCUCUUACUUGGAACUCCUGCCACGGAAAUCAUGUUGUCUUUGAUUUGGUGUGGUAGGUAUAUAAAAUAUACUGGCCGACUUCCUCCUCUCACGAACCACACUGACGCUAACUUUUGGUUUCUACCAUGUACAAGGGUUAUUUACUAUGGACGAAUAUGGAACGUCCAUUAGGAGUACAUGCUUUAUGACGCUAUGUCUCUGCUACAGUUAUGACACUGUUGUUGUACCUUCUACUACAUCUAUUUGAUGUAUAUGCUUUUGUAGAAUACUUGUUCCUGUAUUAUAUACUAAAUUUUCUUGUAUACUACUCCCUCCGUUCCUAAAUAUUUGUCUUUCUAGACAUUUCAAUAAGUGACUACAUACGGAGCAAAAUGAAUGAAUCUACACUCUAAAAUAUGUCUACAUACAUCCGUAUGUGGUAGUCUAUUUGAAAUGUCUAGAAAGACAAAUAUUUAGGAACGGAGGGAGUACAUGGCAUGGCUAUAAUUAGUAGCUGCACUACACUCCUGAAGCUUUUUUUAACUGUUGGGAGACACAGAAGUUUUUCAACCUUCAUUAAGUUUACAUAUAAAGAACUCUUCACUUUGAAGAUUUGAAAAGUUAUGUCAUGUGAUACAACCCUCGUUUCUAAAUGUGCUAUGAAAGUGUCUGAACCUGCAUUUUAUCUCAGAAUGGCAAAAUCACACCAAUAGAUCAUCAUUCAAACUAAACUGGACUUGAUUUCAUCCAUGCGCAAAACCUCCGUCGGGAAUUUAGCUCAUGGCUAAUCAAAUAGGUGAUUAUCCUUAGACUGUGUAGAGUACUGGAAAAUAGGAAAACACUAAAUAAUUAUUUUUGGGAACAUACCUUCAGUUUGAAGUUUUGCCAUGGUGUUCCGCCAUUCAGGCAGGGUGGAGGCGGCACACACGGGCACCUCUGCUAGGCAGUCCACAGGAUGAUGGUGUGAUGCAUACGAGGAUAGUAGCGACGCCGGUGGAACCCCUCCCGGUCGAGUCCCCCACCCUGGUGGCUGCCUACACAAGGGGAUAGCUCGAGUGACCUCUCCCAGUUGGAGAUGCCGACACAGCUUCAGGUUUGACACAAAUAUGACAUCAACUGUGGCAGACGCGGUCUCCUCAAGCCAUGCCUUCCUCGGUGCCGACAGAUCUUACCACCAUCACCACCAUUGGGGGAGGCCCCUAAUUGAGAUGCAUCUCCGCCAGAUCGAGAGGCGACUGACCACACUAGAUCUAGAUUCUGGCAUAUUGAUUCAGAUUCUGGAUCAAUAUCAGGUGCCAGUGAUGUCGCUGAUGCGCUACUUCUAUUAUGCAACAAAGCAGGUCAUCUUAAAGGUUGCUAUUUAGACUGUCAUUUACUUAGCAGUUUCUGCAACUUUGCUGCUUCUAUCUGACUAGCGGUGUAAGGUGGCAUGUAUGUUGGCCAUCAGAACUUUCUUUUCAAGUUAGGACUUCUAUUGGAGCAUAUAUUUUACUGACAUGAGUGGUCAAUGUCAUUGGAUACACCUUUCAGGACUGGGAUAUACUCGAUUUGGGAGAACAUGGGCUUCUUGCUUCUCUUUCUAUCAAUUUACCAGCACAUAGAUCCCCCACUUCCCGUCAGAGCAAAGUGGCAUACCGAAGCUAAAGAAGAAAAAAUUAUAAGGACCAUGGAUAAAGUUAACACCAUCUUUUGUACCCAAUUUUUUUUGUUAUGUGGUACCCAUGUUAUUAUAUAUUGUGAUGUGGCACUAUGUCUAAAAAGACCAAAUUGUGACCACUAAUUUUUGUUAUGUUAUGAGAUUAUAAUUUAAUAUGUAUUUAUAUCA